GUGGUACUCCAUUCUAAUACCAGUUUUGCGUAUUUCUCCUCAAAGUCUAUUUUCGCGUCGUUUUCACGCCGAAAAUUCUCUAACACCUCCCAAACACCAUUAAAACUAUCCAAAUAGUUUUCAUUACUAUUUCUUAUUAGAACUUUGCUAUUUGCAAAAAUCCAAUGUAUUAUAAUAGUAAAAUUCCAGUAACAUAGAUAGUAAUAUGUACUAUUUCUCGGAAUUACCUAUACUUAAAAAUUUAUUUACAUACAUAUUUACUAUUAUAAUACAUUGGAUUUUUGCAAAUAGCAAAGUUCUAAUAAGAAAUAGUAAUGAAAACUAUUUGGAUAGUUUUAAUGGUGUUUGGGAGGUNGUAAUAUGUACUAUUUCUCGGAAUUACCUAUACUUAAAAAUUUAUUUACAUACAUAUUUACUAUUUAAAUUUAAAAUUUUAUUUUAGAAUUUAAAUUUAAAAUCUAAAUUUAAACUAAAUUUAAAUUCUGAAACAACAAAAUAGUGAAGAACUAACCUAAUUAAGAAAAUUUUUAAAAAACAAGUAUUCGGAACUAAUUUUAAUUUAUAAAAA
rnacentral:lncRNA from 1 species